AUCCAGCUGACGAAUCUCAAAUAAGACGGAACGAGCAUCCUGGAU
rfam:Schistosoma rodhaini strain Burundi genome assembly, scaffold: SROB_scaffold0010958